ACUUGCAGUCUCUGUCCUACACUUGGGAUAUGAAUACAGAUGAUUAAGACAAGACCCCUGCUCUAUAAGGAGGUCAUGAAACAGCAGGGGAGAGGAGGCAGACAUAAAUGAUUGUAAUGCAAACUGAUCAAGGGAUGAUUUUGCGACAUGUAAUUCUAGACAAAUUUCCCUUAUGAGACAUUUAAGCAGUUAUUAUUGAGCUCCUACUAUGUGCCUGACUGUCUCCUGAGCCCUGAGAUCAACAGAUCAAAGAGGAAGAGAUGAGGAGGUAGGUGAGACGGUCUCAGAGACUUGUGGACAAAAUGUCAAGGAAACCAAGAGGCAAGAGAAAUUACUGUUGGAGAGACCAGCCUGGCUUUCAUAAACAAUGUGAAAGUUCCCUCCCCCAACCAUGGAGAAUGGAGCUGACCUGCAGAAGCAACUUACCUUUCCUGAAACUUCUGCCCAGAGGGACAGCCACAGAGAACACUUGGUCCACUCUCUCCUCUUUCAAAGGAGUCAAUGCAGUAAUGGAACCAUUUACUCCAUGUCCCUUUGAGAAUGUAAGGUCAGAAGAAGAAGGUUUAUGAGUGGCCCCAGUUUUUGAGGCAGAAGGCAGCCCUUGCUCCCUAAGGGCAGCCUCUACACACAGAUGGUGCCAGGGCCCUCUACAUUCUAUUCCUAAUAAACUGCAGAAAAGAAGCUACUGAAAAAAUGUAGCAAGGCACUUGCUUUUUUUUCCCAUUAAGUUUAUUGGUACAAUUUAGGUAUACAAUACAGUUACAUUCAUCAUUGGGACCUUGUACCUUUAUGCAGUGGCAAUUCAACUGCUAAAAUGGAAAAGGAGGACCUUUUGUAAUUUACAUAUUUGUCUUAUUCCAUUCAGGC
rnacentral:lncRNA from 1 species